AGCUCAAUGAUGAUAUGUUAUCUUGAACAAAAGUGAUGGCUCAAAAAUCAGGCUCAGUUGGAUUAUGCUGAGGCCC
ensembl:snoRNA SNORD115 Small nucleolar RNA SNORD115